GAUGAACGCUAGCGGCAGGCUUAACACAUGCAAGUCGAGGGGUAUAGUUCUUCGGAAUUAGAGACCGGCGCACGGGUGCGUAACGCGUAUGCAAUCUACCUUUCACAGAGGGAUAGCCCAGAGAAAUUUGGAUUAAUACCUCAUAGUAUGUGAGAAUCGCAUGGUUUUCACAUUAAAGUUCCAACGGUAAAAGAUGAGCAUGCGUCCCAUUAGCUAGAUGGUAAGGUAACGGCUUACCAUGGCGACGAUGGGUAGGGGUCCUGAGAGGGAGAUCCCCCACACUGGUACUGAGACACGGACCAGACUCCUACGGGAGGCAGCGGUGAGGAAUAUUGGGCAAUGGGCGCUAGCCUGACCCAGCCAUGCCGCGUGCAGGAAGACGGUCCUAUGGAUUGUAAACUGCUUUUGUACGGGAAGAAACCCUAUUACGUGUAGUAGAUUGACGGUACCGUACGAAUAAGGAUCGGCUAACUCCGUG
rnacentral:rRNA from 1 species